CUGGGAUCGAGGUUCACUCCCAACCCAUGUGAACAUACCUACUGUUGCUUCGGCGGGAUUGCCCCGGGCGCCUCGUGUGCCCCGGAUCAGGCGCCCGCCUAGGAAACUCAACUCUUGUUUUAUUUUGGAAUCUUCUGAGUAGUUUUUACAAAUAAAUAAAAACUUUCAACAACGGAUCUCUUGGUUCUGGCAUCGAUGAAGAACGCAGCGAAAUGCGAUAAGUAAUGUGAAUUGCAGAAUUCAGUGAAUCAUCGAAUCUUUGAACGCACAUUGCGCCCGCCAGUAUUCUGGCGGGCAUGCCUGUCUGAGCGUCAUUUCAACCCUCAUGCCCCUAGGGCGUGGUGUUGGGGAUCGGCCAAAGCCCGCGAGGGACGGCCGGCCCCUAAAUCUAGUGGCGGACCCGUCGUGGCCUCCCCUGCGAAGUAGUGAUAUUCCGCAUCGGAGAGCGACGAGCCCCUGCCGUUAAACCCCCAACUUUCCAAGGUUGACCUCAGAUCAGGUAGGAAUACCCGCUGAACUUAAGCAUAUCAAUAACCGGAGGAA
rnacentral:rRNA from 1 species